rnacentral:lncRNA from 1 species
GAGAUUCUGUCAGCUCUGGCCUGAAUUUGUCAGAGACUCAUUUGGUGUUUCAUUUGAAAUAUUUAUGCUUUCAGUUUUGAUCAAUUGCGAAAACAACAAUUAGGCUAACACAAUGUCCGACCUUUGUUGUUCUUCCACUGGAAAUGUUUCAUUGAUGCUGUUUAGUGUUUUAUUUUUUAUUUUACCGUUAUUUUUUUUACACAUUCUCAUUUACUGCAACGACCUGGGGAACUGUUUCAGGGGAGAGGAGGGGUAUGAAUGAGCUAAUUGUAAGCUGUGGAUGAUUCGAUGACGGUGAUGGUAUGAGGACCAGUAACAGUCUGGAAUGGUUUUGCUCAACGUGUUUUCAUCCAGUUAAACUACUAGUUGAUGGAGAGGCGAGUGAGUUCGGUUUGAUAGAAUGUAGUCGUAACUUUGGCGACUUGAGACGUAGAAACUCUUAUCGUGGAUGAGAGUGAUGUCUGAGACAGAUGAAUGGACUGUUGAGAGGAGGAGUUUGUCUGUUUAUCUCGGUCUUCCCGUAAACAGGGUCUAGCUAUCCCUCAAGGACCAUGAAAGCAGAGCUGCCAGAGAUCACUCAGCAUGCACACUACUGGUCAACAUUUUCAGAACACCUCAUUCAAGAGUUACUUAUUUUUACUAUUUUCUACAUUGUAGAAUAAUAGUGAAGACAUCAACUAUGAAAUAACACAUAUGGAAUCAUGUAGUAACCAAAAAAGUGUUGAACAAAUCAGAAAUAUUUUAUAUUAGAUUCUUCAAAUAGCCCCCCUUUGCCUUGACAGCUUUGCACACUCUUGGCAUUCUCUCAACCAGCUUCACCUGGAAUGCUUUUCCAACUGUCUUGAAGGAGUUCCCACAUAUGCUGAGCACUUGUUGGCUGCUUUUCCUUCACUCUGCGGUCCGACUCAUCUCAAACCAUCUGAAUUUGGUUGAGGUUGGGAUUGUGGAGGCCAUGUCAUCUGAUGCAGUACUCCAUCACUCUCCUUUUUGGUCAAAUAGCCCUUACACCGCCUGGAGGUGUGUUGGGUCAUUGUCCUGCUGAAAAACAAAUGAUAGACCCACUAAACCCAAACCAGAUUGGAUGGUGUAUCGUGGCAGAAUGCUGUGGUAGCCAUGCUGGUUAAGUGUGCCUUGAAAUCUAAAUAAAUCACAGUGUCACCAGCAAAGCACACCCACACCUUAACUUCCUCCUCCAUGUUUUACGGUGGGAAAUACACAUGCGGAGAUCAUCCGUUCACCCACACCGUGUCUCACACAGACAAAAAUCUCAAAUUUGGACUCAUCAGGCCAAAGGACACAUUUCCACAGGUCUAAUGUCCAUUGCUUGUGUUUCUUGGCCUAAGCAAGUCUCUUCUUCUUAUUGGUGUCUCUUAGUAGUGGUUUCUUUGCAGCAAUUCGACCAUGAAGGCCUGAUUCACGCAGUCUCCUCUGAA